rnacentral:lncRNA from 1 species
CCGGCGUAGCUCUUUGGAAACAGGUGGCAGUGUGAUCAAGUCAUUUCCUCUCCACCAGCAUCCUGGCAGCUGCCCUCAGCGCUGGACCAAGUGCUCUGGCCUCUGGCCAGCACAGGUGGCCUUGCAAAGCUUUCAAUGAAAGAGAUGGUCCAAAGAUCUAUUUGCCUACUGGGAUAGAAGGAUGCUGUUGAAAAGAAAGGGAGGACUGGAUGUUUGUCCAAUGGUGUUCAUAAAAGAGACACUUAGCAUGGAAGAGUUAGAUGAAAUACUUGACAGAAUCCAUGUUUAUAAAAACAUGCAUUUUUUUAAUAGUC